rnacentral:misc_RNA from 1 species
GCAAUGUUGGAAGCGGUAUGUUUCUAACUCUAUUUGUGCUCAAAUAUGAAGUCAAAAUAAGUUUGGCUUUCCAUUUAUUUAUAUUGUACCGUUGCCUUUUCUUAAUUUAUAUAAGGGAUUUCAAUUUUUUUGCUUCUAAGCUUUUCUGCACUGUUAACUUGCAUGUGAAUAUUUUUGUUCAUUUGAAUACAACACUCUUUAAGACAUAACUCUUGAUACUGCAGGAAAGACCAUGCUGAUGGAUAU